CGUAGUUGGAUUUUGGGCGCAGGCGGCCGGUCCGUCGCAAGGCGUGUACUGGACGUCCUGGCCUUCCCUCCGGUUCUCCGCCGGUGCUCUUGACUGAGUGUCGGCGGCGGCCGGAACGUUUACUUUGAAAAAAUUAGAGUGUUCAAAGCAGGCUCUCGAGCCUGGAUAAUGGUGCAUGGAAUAAUGGAAUAGGACCUCGGUUCUAUUUUGUUGGUUUUCGGAGCGCGAGGUAAUGAUUAAGAGGGACAGACGGGGGCAUUCGUACUGUGCCGUUAGAGGUGAAAUUCUUGGAUCGGCGCAAGACGAACGACUGCGAAAGCAUUUGCCAAGAAUGUUUUCUUUAAUCAAGAGCGAAAGUCAGAGGUUCGAAGACGAUCAGAUACCGUCCUAGUUCUGACUAUAAACGAUGCCAACUAGCGAUCGGGGGGCGUUACAUUGACGACCCCUCCGGCAGCUUACGGGAAACCAAAGUCUUUGGGUUCCGGGGGAAGUAUGGUUGCAAAGCUGAAACUUAAAGGAAUUGACGGAAGGGCACCACCAGGAGUGGAGCCUGCGGCUUAAUUUGACUCAACACGGGAAAUCUCACCCGGCCCGGACACAGUGAGGAUUGACAGAUUGAGAGCUCUUUCUUGAUUCUGUGGGUGGUGGUGCAUGGCCGUUCUUAGUUGGUGGAGCGAAUUGUCUGGUUAAUUCCGAUAACGAACGAGACUCUGGCUAGCUAAAUAGUUACGCGACCAUCCCGGUCGGCGUUUAAUU
rnacentral:ncRNA from 1 species